rnacentral:rRNA from 1 species
AUUGAACGCUGGCGGCAGGCCUAACACAUGCAAGUCGAGCGGAUGAAGGGAGCUUGCUCCUGGAUUCAGCGGCGGACGGGUGAGUAAUGCCUAGGAAUCUGCCUGGUAGUGGGGGAUAACGUCCGGAAACGGGCGCUAAUACCGCAUACGUCCUGAGGGAGAAAGUGGGGGAUCUUCGGACCUCACGCUAUCAGAUGAGCCUAGGUCGGAUUAGCUAGUUGGUGGGGUAAAGGCCUACCAAGGCGACGAUCCGUAACUGGUCUGAGAGGAUGAUCAGUCACACUGGAACUGAGACACGGUCCAGACUCCUACGGGAUGCAGCAGUGGGGAAUAUUGGACAAUGGGCGAAAGCCUGAGCCAGCCAUGCCGCGUGUGUGAAGAAGGUCUUCGGAUUGUAAAGCACUUUAAGUUGGGAGGAAGGGCAGUAAGUUAAUACCUUGCUGUUUUGACGUUACCAACAGAAUAAGCACCGGCUAACUUCGU